rnacentral:rRNA from 1 species
CCUACGGGUGGCUGCAGUGGGGAAUAUUGGGCAAUGGGCGCAAGCCUGACCCAGCAACGCCGCGUGAAGGAAGAAGGCUUUCGGGUUGUAAACUUCUUUUGACAGGGAAGAGUAGAAGACGGUACCUGUCGAAUAAGCCACGGCUAACUACGUGCCAGCAGCCGCGGUAAUACGGAGGGUGCAAGCGUUGUCCGGAAUCAUUGGGCGUAAAGAGUUCGUAGGCGGCAUGUAAAGUCAGGUGUUAAAGGCGCAGGCUCAACCUGUGUAUGGCACUUGAUACUUGCAAGCUGGAAUGCGGUAGAGGUAAAGGGAAUUCCUGGUGUAGCGGUGAAAUGCUUAGAUAUCAGGAGGAACAUCGGUGGCGUAAGCGCUUUACUGGGCCGUAAUUGACGCUGAGGAACGAAAGCCAGGGUAGCAAAUGGGAUUAGAUACCCUAGUAGUC